CUACGGGAGGCUCCAGUGGGGAAUAUUGCGCAAUGGAGGCAACUCUGACGCAGCAAUUCCGCGUGGAUGAUGAAGGUUUUCGGAUUGUAAAGUCCUUUCAGCAGGGAAGAAGCAAGUGACGGUACCUGCAGAAGAAGCCACGGCUAAUUACGUGCCAGCAGCCGCGGUAAGACGUAAGUGGCAAGCGUUAUCCGGAUUUACUGGGCGUAAAGGGCGCGUAGGCGGCAAAUCAAGUCAGAGGUGAAAAGUCAGGGCUCAACCUUGGCCUUGCCUUUGAAACUGAUUAGCUAGAGUACGGGAGAGGAGGGCGGAACUACCAGUGUAGCGGUGAAAUGCGUAGAUAUUGGUAGGAACGCCGAUGACGAAGGUAGCUCUCUGGACCGAUACUGACGCUGAGGCGCGAAAGCUAGGGGAGCAAACAGGAUUAGAUACCCGUGUAGUC
rnacentral:rRNA from 1 species